ACAAUGGCAGGUACAGAGGGAUGCUACCGGGCGACCGGAUGCGGAUCUCGAAAGCCUGUCCCAGUUCGGACUGGAGCCUGCAACCCGACUCCACGAAGUUGGAUUCGCUAGUAAUCGCGCAUCAGCCAUGGCGCGGUGAAUACGUUCCCGGGCCUUGUACACACCGCCCGUCAAGCCAUGGGAGCCGGGGGCGCCUGAAGUCCGGGACCGCGAGGACCGGCCUAGGGCGAAACUGGUAACUGGGGCUAAGUCGUAACAAGGUACC
rnacentral:rRNA from 1 species